CUGCUGCUGCUGCACGGACUCACACUCCGCACAACGAGAGUGUGUGUGUGCGUUCACACACAGAGCGUAGAUGGCGUACUUCAUGGCACAAAACCCCUGGAACAAAACGAUGUUCCUCUGCACACCGGAGCUCAGAUUACUGACAGCCUCAGCGUCUUCUGAAGGGAGAAGAAACACAUAAUUCUGUUAUCAAUCAACUCCAAAGUUCAUAAACAAUAACAGAGGAUGAUGAAGGAGAUGCUGACCUGAUGAAGAACUCCAAGCUGGGAGGACAACAGGUUGGAAAACUCCUGCAGAACGGAGUCAUUGGCUGCAGCCUGGAGCAGAGGAUUAUAGAUCAGUUAAUAACAUUAUCGAGGUGUUACGUAUCUGUACAGGUGGAGGUUUGAGCAGACGUCUGACCUGCUCUCGGUGCAGGACACGGAGCAGCGUUUGGGCGGCGCUCAGGCUGCGGCACUGCGUCCAUCCCAGGAGCAACAGCAGGCGGGACAGAGGCUGAAACUCCAGCUGCAGUAAAUCCCUCAGAGCAGGAAACUCCUCGUGUUUGAUCAGGUCCAGAGCCGUGAUCUGCAGGAAGGAACCAACGCUUAUUACAUUAUUCAAUUUCACCACAUGUGCAUCACUGUCAGGACUCAUUCAGAAAGAUACUGAUCGUCAUGGAAGAAGAGUCUGCACACUGCAGGACUCUGGAAACAUGGCCUGUGUUUGACUCACCAAGACCGUCUCCAGGUAGUGCUUUCCACUGCUAAGACACUCAAAGUAGAUGGUCUUCCAGAUGGACGGACGAUCCUUGUGGCAACAUAAACUGAGGACGAGCUUCUCCGCUUCGGGAAGCUCCACUGCGAGAGGGAUGUAAACAAGUAUGAGGAUCCAAAGCGCUUAUCUUAAAAACAAUGAUGGUACCGUUAAUGCAAAAUUCAACGUUUUUGUCUCCGUUUUUUUUCCUCUAGAUUUUUUUCUCCAAAUUUCGAAUUUCGACUAUUUCUUCAAAAUGAUCACUUCCCAAAAGAUCCGACUUUUCAAAUUUCAGAAAUGUUUUCUGAAUGUCGACUUUUACAUUUCUGAUUCUUUUUCCAAAUUUUUCCCAAAAACAUCGGACUUUUGUUUUAAAUAUUCUGACUUUUUUCCUAAAAUUUCUGAGUUGUUCUCCUUUUUGAAUUUCCGACUAUUUCUUUAAAUUCAUCACCACUGUAUAAAAUGCCACAUUUACAGCAACUAUGAAAUCUAAAUCUUGCCCACAGAGAUUUAGGAAAAGGAAAUCUAUGCAGACACCAACAGAAGUGCAGAAGAGAGGAGAGGACGUCACAUUUUGGUGACACAAAGUAAAAACUGCUGAGCGUCUGAAGCCACAGAAGCAGAAGUGUGACGAAAAGAGGAAAGAGAUGAUCAGAAGUCAAAACCUCAGGCUUUGAAUAGAACAUAUCGAUGAAACAAAAACCAGUUCAAAGAGGAAGUGAUUUAUAAUAACACGCAGGUUUCUAAAGGGCAGUCUGCUUAACUUAAGAGAGCUUAAAGGGCCACAUGAGUAUAGUAACCCUAACCCCUUAGAAGAUCCAGAUGUUUGCAGUGUUUUCAUCCAGAGUAAAGUGGCCUCCUCUACCUUGAGUUUGAGGCGCGCUCCUCAGCAGGAGAUCCCUCUGAAGCCUCAGGGCGGUGGAACAGUAAACAGAGACGAGAUCAUCCCCCUGAGGGCGGAGCAGCGAGCUCAGGAUCCUCUCCUCCUUUAGGGGUCCGUCUCUGGCCACCCACAGGGCCUCACACAGCGCCUCCAGCUGACCCCCGCCUGCCCUACUGGAGCUCCACGGCAUCACGGACAACACGGCGUACAUGUCCUCCACGAACUCCUCCACCUUCUCCGGCCGGCUCUCCGGUUUCCUCAGCUGCUUCAGCAGGUGUUGGAUGAAGGGGAGCUGCAGGGGGCGGUCCUCUGAGGAAGACUGGGCCUGCAUGAGAGCGGUCAACAAUAUGUCUGACUGCACCUGGAGGAAAUGUGCUAAGGUCUGGGCGAGUCUGGGCUUCUUCUUCUCCAGUAACGUCUGCAGGCAGGACUCGACAGCAGCGUCUGUUGACCUCUGACCCUCCGGAGACUUCUGCUCCGACUGGGAGUCCAGGAAGGCGCGGUGCAACUCCUGCAGGAAGAGGAUUAUCUCAGACCAUAAUAACCAAACAUAAAGUAAUCUGCAUGUCCUGUGUGAACAUAUAUCUGUGUCUCAGUCAAUUAAGCGUUUCCUAUCUGGUUUUAGACACUUCAUUAUCUACAGCAGACGAUGAUUAAACGAUAAUAACCUUGA